CAAACGACUCUCGGCAACGGAUAUCUCGGCUCAUGCAUCGAUGAAAAACGUAGCGAAAUGCGAUACUUGGUGUGAAUUGCAAAAUCCCGUGAACCAUCGAGUCUUUGAACGCAAGUUGCGCCCGAARCCAUUCGGCMGAGGGCACGUCUGCCUGGGCGUCACGC
rnacentral:rRNA from 1 species